CUUACAACAAUACAUUUAAAAAUAGAAGUUAAAAACACAGAAAUUAAAUUAACAUGAGAAAUCAUAGAUAGAAUUUAAUUCAGAUAAAUACUAUAGUGAAACAGGAUCACCGCAUUAUAUAAAAGACAUUUGUCUUUACAGCAUCGAGACUCAAGUUUAUUACUUUUUUUGGCGAUCUGCUUAUUUUUAUUUCUAGAACUGUUUACAUUUUGAUAACCAGAUUAUUAAGGUAGCAGUUGCAUGUUGUAUUAUACAACUAAUACUGCAUUUUAAAAAACGAGCUAGUUCAAUGUAUCUCUUAGACAUAAUUUAAAGUCAGAUGAACAAUCGGAAUAAAUUCACCUAAAAGUUUGGGCAUGCAUUCUUCAUAUUUUCUUUCACCUUUGAAGAAUUCUGGCCGUUUGACCGUUGUGUUAAACUAGAACUCAGUUUUAAUUGUAAGUUAGGAAGAAGGCUAAUGGUUACUGCUUUGUUGGGUUUUUUAUGUUUUGGUUAAGGUACCUGAGUUGACCUAAGUGUCUUCCAGAAGAAGCUGCUACCAAUGGCUUGGUUUGACUGGGAUGGCACCGUCUCAGUGCAAAUUCUCGAAUGGCAAAAGUUGGUGAUGCUUUGGAUCUCAUUCUUGGAGAAGACAAAAAAACAGAAACAGCUGUAGUUAUGCGAGUUGUUCUAAGGAAAGCAUCUGAGAAGAAUGAGAAUGAGAAAUACAAAGUGGUGUUGAGGCACUGGAAAAGGUGCCCAAGCAGGAUGUAUUGAAGUGAAUAAAUGAAUUGCAUGUUGUGAUUGAUUUGUUGUGAGCAAUCACAUUUAUUGUAUAACAUAUAAUUUUUUUCGUUAAAGUUUUUUUAAAAAAAAGGUUACUUGAUGGCAUGCCGCUUUCCUUAUUAUAAACAUUACUAUUUCUGUUCCCAUGACUUUCAUUUCCUGUAUGCCUUUUUCAUUUCAGAGAGAAAAAAUAUCGCUCCUAUGAGAAAUAAAUAAAAGAAAGGCCUGAUCUUA